CGGCGAUUUCCGAAUGGGGAAACCCAGUGUGAUUCGUCACACUAUCAUUAACUGAAUCCAUAGGUUAAUGAGGCGAACCGGGGGAACUGAAACAUCUAAGUACCCCGAGGAAAAGAAAUCAACCGAGAUUCCCCCAGUAGCGGCGAGCGAACGGGGAGCAGCCCAGAGCCUGAAUCAGUGUGUGUGUUAGUGGAAGCGUCUGGAAAGGCGCGCGAUACAGGGUGACAGCCCCGUACACAAAAAUGCACAUGCUGUGAGCUCGAUGAGUAGGGCGGGACACGUGGUAUCCUGUCUGAAUAUGGGGGGACCAUCCUCCAAGGCUAAAUACUCCUGACUGACCGAUAGUGAACCAGUACCGUGAGGGAAAGGCGAAAAGAACCCCGGCGAGGGGAGUGAAAAAGAACCUGAAACCGUGUACGUACAAGCAGUGGGAGCACAGAGCAAUCUGUGUGACUGCGUACCUUUUGUAUAAUGGGUCAGCGACUUAUAUUCUGUAGCAAGGUUAACCGAAUAGGGGAGCCGAAGGGAAACCGAGUCUUAACUGGGCGUUAAGUUGCAGGGUAUAGACCCGAAACCCGGUGAUCUAGCCAUGGGCAGGUUGAAGGUUGGGUAACACUAACUGGAGGACCGAACCGACUAAUGUUGAAAAAUUAGCGGAUGACUUGUGGCUGGGGGUGAAAGGCCAAUCAAACCGGGAGAUAGCUGGUUCUCCCCGAAAGCUAUUUAGGUAGCGCCUCGUGAAUUCAUCUCCGGGGGUAGAGCACUGUUUCGGCAAGGGGGUCAUCCCGACUUACCAACCCGAUGCAAACUGCGAAUACCGGAGAAUGUUAUCACGGGAGACACACGGCGGGUGCUAACGUCCGUCGUGAAGAGGGAAACAACCCAGACCGCCAGCUAAGGUCCCAAAGUCAUGGUUAAGUGGGAAACGAUGUGGGAAGGCCCAGACAGCCAGGAUGUUGGCUUAGAAGCAGCCAUCAUUUAAAGAAAGCGUAAUAGCUCACUGGUCGAGUCGGCCUGCGCGGAAGAUGUAACGGGGCUAAACCAUGCACCGAAGCUGCGGCAGCGACGCUUAUGCGUUGUUGGGUA
rnacentral:rRNA from 1 species